rnacentral:rRNA from 1 species
CACGUAGGGCGCAAGCGUUGUCCGGAAUUAUUGGGCGUAAAGAGCUCGUAGGCGGUCUGUCGCGUCUGCCGUGAAACCCGAGGCUUAACCUCGGGCUGGCGGUGGAUACGGGCAGACUAGAGGUAGGUAGGGGAGAAUGGAAUUCCCGGUGUAGCGGUGAAAUGCGCAGAUAUCGGGAGGAACACCGGUGGCGAAGGCGGUUCUCUGGGCCUUACCUGACGCUGAGGAGCGAAAGCGUGGGAGCGAACAGGAUUGA